rnacentral:rRNA from 1 species
AUUGAACGCUGGCGGCAGGCUUAACACAUGCAAGUCGAGCGAGCGGCGGACGGGUGAGUAAUGUAUGGGAAAAUGCCUGCUGGCGGGGGAUAACUACUGGAAACGGUAACUAAUACCGCAUACUAUCAGAUGUGCACAGAUGGGAUUAGCUAGUAGGUGGGGUAAUGGCUCACACAGGCGACGAUCCCUAGCUGGUCUGAGAGGAUGACCAGCAACACUGGAACUGAGACACGGUCCAGCCUCCUACGGGAGGAAGCGUUGGGAAGUAUUGGACAAUGGGCGAAAGCUGGCUGCAGCCAUGCCGCGUGUGUGAUGAAGUCCUUCGGUUUGUAAAGCACUUUCAGCGAGGAGGCGGUACUUGCAGAAGAAGCACCGGCUAACUCCGUGCCAGCAGCCGCGGUAAUUC